rnacentral:rRNA from 1 species
AGUCGAGGGGUAUAUGUCUUCGGAUAUAGAGACCGGCGCACGGGUGCGUAACGCGUAUGCAACCUACCUUUCACAGGGGGAUAGCCCAGAGAAAUUUGGAUUAAUACCCCAUGGUAUUAUGAGAUGGCAUCAUUUUAUAAUUAAAGUCACAACGGUGAAAGAUGGGCAUGCGUCCCAUUAGCUAGAUGGUAAGGUAACGGCUUACCAUGGCUACGAUGGGUAGGGGUCCUGAGAGGGAGAUCCCCCACACUGGUACUGAGACACGGACCAGACUCCUACGGGAGGCAGCAGUGAGGAAUAUUGGACAAUGGGCGCAAGCCUGAUCCAGCCAUGCCGCGUGCAGGAUGACGGUCCUAUGGAUUGUAAACUGCUUUUAUACGGGAAGAAACCCCGCCUCGUGAGGCGGAUUGACGGUACCGUAAGAAUAAGGAUCGGCUAACUCCGUGCCAGCAGCCGCGGUAAUACGGAGGAUCCAAGCGUUAUCCGGAAUCAUUGGGUUUAAAGGGUCCGUAGGCGGCCUUAUAAGUCAGUGGUGAAAUCUCCCGGCUCAACCGGGAAAUUGCCAUUGAUACUGUAGGGCUUGAAUUAUUAGGAAGUAACUAGAAUAUGUAGUGUAGCGGUGAAAUGCUUAGAGAUUACAUGGAAUACCUAUUGCGAAGGCAGGUUACUACUAAUGGAUUGACGCUGAUGGACGAAAGCGUGGGUAGCGAACAGGAUUAGAUACCCUGGUAGUCCACGCCGUAAACGAUGGAUACUAGCUGUUGGGGGGCACUUCAGUGGCUAAGCGAAAGUGAUAAGUAUCC